CGUCGUCCGAAGACACAUUAGUUUUCGCACUCUAACUUUAGUUUAAGUGAAUGGAUCUCAAUGAAAUUUUACCAUAAGGUUCAAUACUACAAUAGGAAGGUGGGGAUUGAUUUUGGGGGUUAUGGUACCAACAGUUAAGGAAUUAGGGGCCAAAAAGGGAAAAAAAAUAAGCAUUUUUGUAACUUCCAGACAUAACUUGUGUGUAAGUGUAUGGAUCUCUUUGACAUUGUACCACAAGGUUCCAUAUCACAAAGGGAAUGCUGGGAUUGAUUUUGGGGGUAAUGCCUCCAAAUUUUAGGAAUUAGGGGCCAAAAAGGGGCAAAAAACAAGCAUUUUUCUAGUUUCAUGACAAUAACUUGUGUGUAAGUGUAUGGAUCUAUCUGACAUUGUAUCACAAGGUUCCAUAACACAAAGUGAAUGCUGGGAUUGAUUUUGGGGGUAAUUGCUUCCAAAUUUUAGGAAUUAGGGGCCAAAAAGGGGCAAAAAAACAAGCAUUUUUCUAGUUUCAUGACAAUAACUUGUGUGUAAGUGUAUGGAUCUUUAUGAAAUUGUACUACAAGGUUCCAUAUCACAAAGGGAAAGCUGGGUUUGAGUUUGGGGGUAAUUGCCCUAAACGUUUAGGAAUUUGGGGCCAAACAGGGGCCAAAAAACAAGCAUUUUUCUAGUUUCCAGACAAUAACUUGUGUUCAAGUGUAUGAAUCUCUCUGAAAUUGUACUGCAAGGUACCAUACCACAAAGGGAAGGCUGGGAUUGAGUUUGGGGAUGAUGAAUCAUAAGGGGGUUCAAAACAUUUGGGGGGGGGAUUUUUUUUUUCCUUUUUUUUUCUUUAAAAUUUUCCAUUUUAAAUUGGUUAUUUCUGAUUUAUAUAUAAAAGCAAAUAAUAAUGAUAUGGUUUGAAUAGGUAAAUUAAAUUUUUUUUAAGUUCUAAGACCACUUUCAUUCUGUAUCAGAAACCUAUGCUGUGUCAAAUAUUUAAUUACAAUCCAAAUUCAGUGCUGUAUCAAGCUUGAAUGUUGUGUCCAUACUUGCCCCAACUGUUCAGGGUUCAACCUCUGCGGUCGUAUCAAGCUGCGCCCCAGCGGAGCAUUUUAUUUAUAUUUAAG